rnacentral:rRNA from 1 species
GACGUAGGGCGCAAGCGUUGUCCGGAUUUAUUGGGCGUAAAGAGCUCGUAGGCGGCUUGUCGCGUCGACUGUGAAAACCCGUGGCUCAACCAUGUGGUCUGCAGUCGAUACGGGCAGGCUAGAAUUCGGUAGGGGAGACUGGAAUUCCUGGUGUAGCGGUGAAAUGCGCAGAUAUCAGGAGGAACACCAGUGGCGAAGGCGGCUACCUGGACCGGUUCUGACGCUGAGGCGCGAAAGCGUGGGUAGCAAACAGG